rnacentral:misc_RNA from 1 species
GUAUCGGUCAUCACCUUUCACGAGGUAUAUGUUAAUAUCAUAGUUAUUUUGAUGGCAAUAAGAAUGUAUAGUUGCAGAAGUCUUUUAGGCCAAAUUUCAGCAGCUAUUUGUCUUGCUGACAUUUUAUAUUUCACUGAAAGAUCCAUCAUCUAGCAUGACAGUAGAGUUCUUGGGCUUGCAGCCAUGAAGUAAAGGUUCAAGACCUAAGAGCAAGUCUUCAUGUAAA